rnacentral:rRNA from 1 species
AUUGAACGCUGGCGGCAUGCCUAACACAUGCAAGUCGAACGCGUGGCGGACGGGUGAGUAAUGUCUGGGAAACUGCCUGAUGGAGGGGGAUAACUACUGGAAACGGUCGCUAAUACCGCAUACCAUCAGAUGUGCCCAGAUGGGAUUAGCUAGUUGGUGGGGUAACGGCUCACCACGGCGACGAUCCCUAGCUGGUCUGAGAGGAUGACCAGCCACACUGGAACGGAGACACGGUCAAGACGCCUACGGGAGGCAGCAGGGGGGAAGAUGGCACAAUGGGCGCGAGCCUGAUGCAGCCAUGGCGAGUGUAUGAAGAAGGCCUUCGGGUUGUAAAGUACUUUCAGCGGGGAGGCGUUACCCGCAGAAGAAGCACCGGCUAACUCCGUGCCAGCAGCCGCGGUAAUAC